GCUUGCUUCAGCAGCAAACAUAUACUGAAAUUGGAAUAAAACGCAGAGAAAAUUAGCAUGACCCCUGCAUAAGGAUGAUGCACAGAUUUGCAAAGUGGUUCAUAUUUUG
ensembl:snRNA U6 U6 spliceosomal RNA